rnacentral:rRNA from 1 species
GUAUAGCAAUAGCUACUUGUAUCAUUAAUGAUGCAAGCUCGACUAUGUUGAAUAAAAUUCUAGGUAGAAUUAUGAUAAUGACAUUGUCUGCCUAUGUGUCUUGACCAAAUUACGUGCCAGCAGUCGCGGUAAUACGUAGAAGACUAGUGUUAUUCAUGUUUAAUCGGUUUAAAGGGUACCUAGACGGUGAAUCAAGCUUUAGAAUAAAGAAGAAAAGGAACUAAUUCGCUAGAGUUACUUACGAGGGGGUAGUAAAGUACUGCUGGUGUAGAGAUGAAAUUCUGUCAUACCUCUUUUCGAAAGAAAAAUUAUGGCACAGGUAUAGGCGAAGGCAUCCCCUUAUGUGAUAACUGACGUUGAGGGACGAAGGCUUCGUGGAACAAACAGGAUUAGAUACCCUAGUAGUUGAAGCAGAAAAUGAUGAAUGUCAUAGAUUAGACGUCUAAGUUUAUUCUAUAAAUGAAAGUGUAAGCAUUCCACCUCAUGAGUAAUUUGGCAACAUUGGAAUUGAAAUCAUUAGACCGUUUCUGAAACCAGUAGUGAAGUAUGUUGUUUAAUUUGAUAAUACGCAAAAAACCUUACCACAAUUUGAAUAUUUAUAUUGUUUAUUGUUAUCUUAUUAAUUUUCUUAAAAAAACUAAUUAUAGCAAAAGCAUUUUAAAACAGGAAAAGAAAAUUAAUCAAGAGGCAAUAACAUAUAUCUACAAGCGUUGCACGGCUGUCUUCAGUUAAUGUCGCGAGACUUUGGUUAGUUCCAUUAAAUUAACGUAAACCCUUACUUUAUUUUUUAUAUAGAGUAGUUCCCCGCUAUAUUGGAUAUGAUAAC